CGAUCAAGGUGGCCAAGGGUCCGGAAGGAGGGCCUCGCUCGCCCCGUAAACAAAUUCGAAGUAUGCUCGACGAAACGGGACGAGGCGAAACGAGAUCCUCGUUUGUUUACAGUCGCUUGUUUCCGCUGUUUUGCCACGCUCCGCUCUGCGCCGCAUAGCCGCGAAAACAGUUAUUGCCGAAACUGUCGAUGUCGAGGAACGGCCGCAACCGCGCACGUAUUUCACGCUGCUUCGAGAUUUAUCCCGAGACGAUUAUUAAAAAGCGGAGGUGUCGGUCGACCGGGUUUCUCUCCUUUUCUCAUUGCCUCGCGCGCGAACGAGAGGAAGGGGGACAGAAGGACGCGACAGAAGGUGGUGGUCCGUUUCUAUGCGUGAAUACGUAAUAUCGCGUGACACGUGACAACGACUGUUUCUCUUUCUGGGGUCGAUCCAGUUGCUCUUCUCCUCGCGUUUCCGAUCGAUCGUGAGGAGCAUCGUUCGUUUUGCUUCGACGAAGAAGUGGAUCCCAUCGAUACACCAUCGAUUUUCUCCCCAUUCUCUUCGAACAUGAAUCAAUCUAUGAAUUGGAAGAGCAGUUUCCUCGUAUGGAUAUUCCGGAUCUCGAUCAUGUACGCGACUCUGUACCUGAUAUGCAUCGUGAUAUGGAUAAUCUAUUACCACGCAUCGUUGUACAUAAUAUGCGCUUGCAAGUAGCAACGGAGUAGCGUCGCCUGUUCGAACGGAAGGAAGGAAGGAUGGCGAGUAAAUUGGUGAAAACGGAUUGCCGACGUUCGAGUACCGUCGGGACGUCUUCAGGAGGAAUUCCUUAGCCCGUUAUUCUUCUCCCGCUACUCUCGAAUAGAUAACGUGGUCCUUCUCUCUUAAAGAUUAUUCGAUUGAUUUGAGAGGAUAAACGAAUAAAACCCAUGUUUUUGCACGCAAACGUUGUGUUAUGAAUAUUUCGCAACUAUCCCACUGAAAUGUUACAUGAUAGACAUAUAAGAUUAAAAGAAAGAAAAGAAAAGAAAAGAGAGAGAGAGAGAUUAAAGAGGAAAAAAAAUAUA